rnacentral:rRNA from 1 species
CUAGGAUGCUGGAAUGCACUUAGUCUGAAAACUCCGGUGCCUAAGGAUGAAUCUGCGGACUAUCAGGUUGUAGUCAGGGUAAUGACCUGACUAGCCUAUGACGGAUAUGGGUUGUGGGAGCAAUAACCCAGAGAUGAUAUCUGAGACACGAUAUCAGGCCCUACGGGGCGCAGCAGGCGCGAAAACUUCGCAAUGUGCGAAAGCACGACGAGGGAAUCCCAAGUGCUUGCACGUAAGUGUAAGCUGUUUCUCUGUUUAAAACGCAGAGAGAGUAAGGGCUGGGUAAGACGGGUGCCAGCCGCCGCGGUAAUACCUGCAGCUCAAGUGGUGGCCGUUAUUAUUGGGCCUAAAACGUCCGUAGCCGGUUUAUUAAAUGCCUGGGUAAAUCGGACCGCUUAACGGUUCGAAUUCCGGGUAGACUGAUAAACUUGAGACCGGGAGAAGUUAGAGGUACUCCUGGGGUAGAGGUGAAAUUCUGUAAUCCUAGGGGGACCACCAGUGGCGAAAGCGUCUAACUAGAACGGGUCUGACGGUGAGGGACGAAGCCCUGGGGCGCAAACGGGAUUAGAUACCCCGGUAGUCCAGGGUGUAAACGCUGCUUGCUUGAUGUUAGUCGGGCUCCGAGCCCGAUUAGUGUCGGAGAGAAGUUGUUAAGCAAGCUGCCUGGGAAGUACGGUCGC